rnacentral:rRNA from 1 species
UACAGAGGAGCCAAGCGUUGUCCGGAUUGACUGGGCGUAAAGCGCACGCAGGCGGAUGCGCGCGUGGGGUGUGAAAUCUGGCCGCUUAACGGCCAGGCGCCAUCCCAUACGGCGCGUCUGGAGCCUUGCAGAGGUCGGUGGAAUUGCCGGUGUAGUGGUGAAAUGCGUAGAGAUCGGGAGGAACACCUGUGGCGGAAGGCGGCCGACUGGGCCGACC